CACCCCUAAACAAUAUCCCCUUGCUGUCAUCCGCUCAGCAUCCUCACCAAGGCCCCGGAUGAACGGCCCUCAUCAGUGUCCCGUCAGAAGCACCCCCACUGUCUCUCCUCUCAGCAGUGGCCCCUCAUCAAGAUGCCCUCAGCGUCAUCUCCGCCACACCAACCUCCACUCAGCCUCUCCUCAGUAGCUCCCAUGCACUGUCUCCCCGCCCAUACGGCCUCACCAACACCCCGAGCAACACAGCCAAGAGUGCCCCAUGCCCGGUGCCUCCCAGAAGCACCCCUUGCCAACAUCUCCUGGCAGGCAUGCCCACAUCAUCACCAACGUCAGUCCACAGCAUCCCCUCAUGAAAUUCCCCUCACCAGUGUCUGCUCACCACCAAUCCUUCACCAACCCAUCCCCCUGAGCAACCUCGCACCAGUGUCCCAUGACCACCAUUCCCUUACCAACCUCCUCUUCCAAUGUCUCCUCACCAGCGUCCCUCAGAUAUGUCCCCUCUCCAGGGUUCCUUCAACAGUGUCUCCUCCAAGGGUCACCUGGACAACUUGCUCACACCAGUGUCACCUCACCACCACCCCUCUCAGGUGUGCCCCACUCCCUCAUCCUCAUGACUCACGAUUAUUACUGACAAGUAUCCCUUCACCGUCACCUUCUUACCAACUUUCCCAGACAACAUCCCCACACCGGGGUCCCCACACCAGGGUCCCCACACCAGGGUCCUCACACCUGCGUCCCCACACCAGGGUCCUCACACCUGCGUCCCCACACCAGGGUCCUCACACCAGGGUCCCCACACCAGGGUCCCCACACCAGGGUCCUCACACCAGGGUCCUCACACCUGCGUCCCCACACCAGGGUCCCCACACCAGGGUCCUCACACUUGCGUCCCCACACCAGGAUCCUCACACCAGGGUCCCCACACCAGGGUCCUCACACCAGGGUCCCCACACCAGGGUCCUCACACCAGGGUCCCCACACCAGGGUCCUCACACCAGGGUCCUCACACCAGGGUCCCCACGCCAGCGUCCUCCCCUCACCAACCACGUUACCCCAACUUGCCCAAACCACACUUCCUCACUUCUGUGGUCUUGCCCCCGUCUCCUCACUCAUGUCCCUCGGUCCUCUGUUUUGAUGGCUGUGAGCCAUCUAUCCCAGACCCUGUGCGGUCCUGGCCUGGGAAGAAGCCCACCCAGGCCGCCGAAUGGCUGCCUCUGGGAUAUUUUAGGCACUCUUAGUGUCUCAGUUUCUUGGCACGCCUGCCCUUAAGGGACUCUCACCUGUUGGCUCUUUGUAAAGAUGACCCCAGCUAACCACCCCAG
rnacentral:lncRNA from 1 species